rnacentral:misc_RNA from 1 species
GAUGAAGAACGCAGCGAAAUGCGAUAAGUAAUGCGAAUUGCAGAAUUCAGUGAGUCAUCGAAUCUUUGAACGCACAUUGCGCCCUGUGGUAUUCCGCAGGGCAUGCCUGUUCGAGCGUCAUUUCAACCCUCAAGCUCUGCUUGGUGUUGGGCCCUGCCCGCUGCGGCCGGCCCUAAAGACAGUGGCGGUGCCGCCUGGCCCUGAGCGUAGUACAUCUCUCGCUCAAGUGCCCGGUGGUAGCCUGCCAGAACCCCAACUCUCGUGGUUGACCUCGGAUCAGGUAGGGAUACCCGCUGAACUUAAGCAUAUCAAUAAGCGGAGGA